rnacentral:misc_RNA from 1 species
GUAAUUUCAAAAAGGGAACAAUGAGUGUCCAAGUGACCAUGUCUUUAGUUUUUUCCAAAGCAUAAAAGAGACAAUAUUUGAUGCUUUCAAAGUUUCAAUCAAACAAGUGGGACUACUGACUAGCACGGCUCAUUGUCUCCACAUUAAUCAUGAGAUAAAACAAUUGUAACCAAUCCAAACAUCCUUGAAAUAGUCUCCACUAAUGAUGGAUCCCCCUAAUCUUGUUAUUAUUAAUGUUAAUGGCCUCGAUUACCCCCAAGUAAUGCCGGCUUCUUGUCUUAGCAACUAAUCUUCUUGCAUGCUUAGCUCAAUUGCCCCCAUCAAAUUUGGACAGUCUGCAACUAUAACUGGGUGCAGUCCGAUUCCAAAACCGGCAAUUCCGGUUCGACGGGUUGGAAAUUUAAGAUCGAAUCGAGAGGUUCAACUCUAUUUUGAUCUUAACAAUCAAAUCAAUCAGCGGGCAGUUGUGUCACACAUGAUUCUGCUCAGCAUCUUUAAUCACUUACUACUAGAUCAAUACUAGAUCAACUAGUUGGUUGCUCUUGUAAGAUAAAUAGAUUACACAAUAAGAAUAGAUUUCAGGAAUUGGUAAAAGAAUAAAAAACUGACCCAUCCUGCACGUGGCUGGGGCUUCAUGUCAUGCCCAGGAAUCCAUGGGGGCCUCCUUGUAUACUUAGUGCUUGGAGUUGGUUUCAUCUUUCAAGCAUUUGGUUUUAUUUCACCUCUCAUCACUUAUCCAUCAGAAAACAUUGGAUCACGAGAUCACUUCUUUAUGGUAAUUGGGUCACCUCAGACAAGAGCAUGUGAAGCUGCAUCUCCAAUGUGUGACGAAUAGUUAAAAGUGUACAAGAAAAGAUAAAUUCAAGAACAAAUGCUAAAAAAACAAAGACCUAAAGAUAAAGAGACAAGAAGCUCCAUUCCAGCUGCUUUACAUCUUUCAACUGCAUACCCAAGUUUAGCCUUCAUAGUUAUGUGACCUCACUUCAACAUAGGUCAAGGAAAAUCCUUACCGACGAACAUCCUAAUCAACCAAUUCUCAUAGAAGUGAGCUGCUCGUGUCCAUCUUCAUGUAUAAGGCCAAAAUGAGGAGACAAAAAAAUAAGAGCACAACCAGCAGAUCAAUUAUUAAAAUAUAUUUGCUGAAACCUUCCAAAAGUCUAGAUCCAACCAAUAGUUUCAUUCCUUCACAGGAAGCUGGAAAAACUAAUCAAUUUCAAUGAGCAUAUGUUUUUGUUCGAGGGAAUCUUGGCUGUCAAUUUGUGGAUUCAUUUUUCAAGGGUAUUCUCAUUUAGACAACAAGAACCGAAUCAUACUCUGGAAUUUCCAAAUAUGACAUCUCUCAGGCUGAGUCCUUAGUAUUCUAGCUAUCCCAGGUCGCUAAAAUUAAUUUAGUAUAUUUUAGAAGUAAAAGGUGCCCUAAAUAUAAAAGACAAGCCAAGGACCUCUAGGUGAACUAGCUUUAAGUUCAAUCUCAUCCAGCCGCUGCAAAAAAGCAUUGCUCUUCUUCUUCUUUUUUUU